rnacentral:sRNA from 1 species
CAUUGGUCAAGAGCUGUGGCUCUCCUGAUGAGUCCAUGGCGGGACGAAAUCCAUG